rnacentral:rRNA from 1 species
CGGGUGAGUAACACGUAGGUGACCUGCCCCAAAGUGGGGAAUAACCACUGGAAACGGUGGCUAAUACCUCAUGUACUCGGUGGUUCGUUCCAUCGAGUAAAGCUCCGGCGCUUUGGGAGGGGCCUGCGGCCCAUCAGGUAGUUGGUAGGGUAAUGGCCUACCAAGCCGAUGACGGGUAGGGGGCGUGAGAGCGUGAUCCCCCACACUGGCACUGAGACACGGGCCAGACUCCUACGGGAGGCAGCAGUGAGGAAUAUUGGGCAAUGGGCGCAAGCCUGACCCAGCAACGCCGCGUGGGCGAAGAAGGCCUUCGGGUUGUAAAGCCCUUUUCUGGGGGAAGAGGAAGGACGGUACCUCAGGAAUAAGUCACGGCUAACUACGUGCCAGCAGCCGCGGUAAUACGUAGGUGGCCAGCGUUAUCCGGAUUUACUGGGCGUAAAGCGCGUGCAGGCGGCUUCGUAAGUCGGACGUGAAAGCUCCCGGCUCAACUGGGAGAGGCC